CCUACGGUGCGCAGCAGUGGGGAAUAUUGGACAAUGGGCGAAAGCCUGAUCCAGCCAUGCCGCGUGUGUGAAGAAGGCCUUCGGGUUGUAAAGCACUUUCAGUGGGGAAGAAAGCCUUGGGGCUAAUACCCUCGAGGAAGGACAUCACCCACAGAAGAAGCACCGGCUAACUCCGUGCCAGCAGCCGCGGUAAUACGGAGGGUGCGAGCGUUAAUCGGAAUUACUGGGCGUAAAGCGCGCGUAGGCGGUCUGAUAAGCCGGUUGUGAAAGCCCCGGGCUCAACCUGGGAACGGCAUCCGGAACUGUCAGGCUAGAGUGCAGGAGAGGAAGGUAGAAUUCCCGGUGUAGCGGUGAAAUGCGUAGAGAUCGGGAGGAAUACCAGUGGCGAAGGCGGCCUUCUGGACUGACACUGACGCUGAGGUGCGAAAGCGUGGGUAGCAAACAGGAUUAGAUCCCCUGUAGUC
rnacentral:rRNA from 1 species